rnacentral:rRNA from 1 species
CCAACGGGUGGCAGCAGUGGGGAAUAUUGGACAAUGGGGGGAACCCUGAUCCAGCCAUGCCGCGUGUGUGAAGAAGGCCCUCGGGUUGUAAAGCACUUUCAGUGAGGAAGAACGCCUGGUGGUUAAUACCCAUCAGGAAAGACAUCACUCACAGAAGAAGCACCGGCUAACUCCGUGCCAGCAGCCGCGGUAAUACGGAGGGUGCGAGCGUUAAUCGGAAUUACUGGGCGUAAAGCGCGCGUAGGUGGCUUGAUAAGCCGGUUGUGAAAGCCCCGGGCUCAACCUGGGAACGGCAUCCGGAACUGUCAAGCUAGAGUGCAGGAGAGGAAGGUAGAAUUCCCGGUGUAGCGGUGAAAUGCGUAGAGAUCGGGAGGAAUACCAGUGGCGAAGGCGGCCUUCUGGACUGACACUGACACUGAGGUGCGAAAGCGUGGGUAGCAAACAGGAUUAGAUACCCUGGUAGUC